rnacentral:rRNA from 1 species
GGGGAAUAUUGGACAAUGGGGGCAACCCUGAUCCAGCCAUGCCGCGUGAGUGAUGAAGGCCUUAGGGUUGUAAAGCUCUUUCGUCAGGGAAGAUAAUGACGGUACCUGAAGAAAAAGCCCCGGCUAACUUCGUGCCAGCAGCCGCGGUAAUACGAAGGGGGCUAGCGUUGUUCGGAAUUACUGGGCGUAAAGCGCACGUAGGCGGACAUUUAAGUCAGGGGUGAAAUCCCGGGGCUCAACCCUGGAACUGCCUUUGAUACUGGGUGUCUUGAGUACGAGAGAGGUGAGUGGAAUUCCGAGUGUAGAGGUGAAAUUCGUAGAUAUUCGGAAGAACACCAGUGGCGAAGGCGGCUCACUGGCUCGUAACUGACGCUGAGGUGCGAAAGCGUGGGGAGCAAAC